rnacentral:rRNA from 1 species
UGGGGAAUUUUGGACAAUGGGCGCAAGCCUGAUCCAGCCAUGCCGCGUGUCUGAAGAAGGCCUUCGGGUUGUAAAGGACUUUUGUCAGGGAAGAAAAGGGCGGGGUUAAUACCCCUGUCUGAUGACGGUACCUGAAGAAUAAGCACCGGCUAACUACGUGCCAGCAGCCGCGGUAAUACGUAGGGUGCGAGCGUUAAUCGGAAUUACUGGGCGUAAAGCGGGCGCAGACGGUUACUUAAGCAGGAUGUGAAAUCCCCGGGCUCAACCUGGGAACUGCGUUCUGAACUGGGUGACUAGAGUGUGUCAGAGGGAGGUAGAAUUCCACGUGUAGCAGUGAAAUGCGUAGAGAUGUGGAGGAAUACCGAUGGCGAAGGCAGCCUCCAUGGAUAACACUGACGUUCAUGCCCGAAAGCGUGGGAAGCAAACA